UACGUAGGGGGCUAGCGUUGUCCGGAAUCAUUGGGCGUAAAGCGCGUGUAGGCGGUUCGGUAAGUCCGCUGUGAAAGUCGGGGGCUCAACCCUCGGAAGCCGGUGGAUACUGUCGGGCUAGAGUACGGAAGAGGCGAGUGGAAUUCCUGGUGUAGCGGUGAAAUGCGCAGAUAUCAGGAGGAACACCAAUUGCGAAGGCAGCUCGCUGGGACGUUACUGACGCUGAGGCGCGAAAGCGUGGGGAGCAAACAGG
rnacentral:rRNA from 1 species